UUUUCUAAAAUCAAUUGUUUUUUUAAUAAAAAUAGUCUUUUAAAAAAACAGAAAUCCAAUCUAAUUUUUUCAAGAAUUUCCGAGUUCUUGUUCUUAAAAAUUCCAUAACUUUUUUUGUAAUCAAAAUUUUAGAACCGGACAAAUUUUGUCUUAAGGUAGAAACAAUAAGCUACAACUUUUAUAUAAAAAGUUUUUUUUUUAAAUCAAUAGUUUCUGAGAUAUUUAAAUAGAGCGGACUGUAAAUCUGAAAAUAAAGAGAAUAUAUAAACUGCCUGAUCUAAAAGAAUAAAAACAUUUAAUUUGUACUUAUCUAUUAACUUAAUCUAGUCAUACAGAUAUUAGCGUAACUUAAUUAUAAUUAAUAAUUAUAAUAAUUAUAAUGACAAACUUUUAUAUUAUUUAACAACACUAACUAAAGAAUAUUGUAUUGAAAUAAAAUAAGUUUUUGACACUAAAAAUGUUUUAGUACCUGUAUUAUUUUAUUUUUUUAUUAUAAUAAUAAAAUUAUCAUAUUACAAUAAUGUAAUAAUAAUAAUAAUAAUGUUGCCGAGUAUCUACAUACUUAAAAUGAUAAUAUAAAAUCACAAAAUAUACAUAUUAAAGAUACGGUUUAGUGAUCAAAAUUACUCUCUGUACUGCACAAAUAAUUGUGCACUGAGUGAAAAUUUUGUCAGAAAGUUAGGAAAUUUUAUUUCCUUAAUGAGUUUUAUGGCCUACUUUGAAUCCAAUUUUGGAGAUUUGAAAUUUGGUCAUCUUUAUUUAACAAUAAAAAAUAGACAACUAAUUAUUUUUAUGUCUUCGCCGGCAUUUUUAGAAUCCUUAGUCUUUAAACUUUAAGAUCCAUUAUGAAUUAUUUUGAAAAAAAAUUUUUUUAGCCAAGUUUUCAGCGCCUCUAGCUCAAAAAAUCCGUUUUUU